rnacentral:rRNA from 1 species
CGAGACCUCAGGUCAGGCGGGACUACCCGCUGAGUUUAAGCAUAUCAAUAAGCGGAGGAAAAGAAACU